rnacentral:lncRNA from 1 species
GACUUGUAGAGCGGUAACAAUUACCUAUUUCUAGAACAUUUUCCCAUCACUUCCAAAGGAAACGGGUACCCAUUAGCAGUCGCUCACCAUUCCUCCCUACUCCCAUCCCUUGGCGACAUCUAGUCUACCUUUUUAUAUGAGUUUGCCUAAUCUGGAUAUUUCAAAUAAGUGGAAUUGUACAAUAUGUGCACAAUCUUCGUGAUUAGUUUCUUUUACCUGAUCAUGUUAUCAAGAUUCAUCCAUGUUGGAGAUCCUGUGUUAGCUCCGCAGGUCAGAACCCAGCAUGGUGUGCAUGAGGAUGAGAGUUCCAUCCCUGGACUCGCUUGGUGGGUUAAAGAUGUGGGGUUCCACAGCAAUGCGGGAUCCCCAACCCACCAAGCAAGGCCAGGGAUCGAACCUGCAACCCCAUGGCUCCCAGUCGGAUCCGUAAACCUCUGCGCCACGACAGGAACUCCGAUCAGUGAUUUUAUUUUACAAGAACCUCUUUGUGACUCCCUGUGAUCUGGGUCCUAUAAGAUAUGAGUAGGGCACAGAGAAAGGGAAACCAUGGCCUGACAUGUCAGUAAUAACCAACUUUAGCCAGGCUUGUUUGGUAGCAAGUGGCAGAAACCCACACUGUUCAUAUAUCCAUCCGAACUGUCUUAAGUUUUCUUUCCCACUAAAUUGUGAAUUCCUUUGGGGGCAGAGACAUAGCUUGUUUAUUUGUCAUCCCCAUGCUCAGCACAGUACCUGACACACAGAAACUGCUCAAUAAGUGCUCAAUGAAUGAAUGGGUAUACAGAUUAGAAUUCCCAGAUGAAUAGAGAUUGGCACAGGAACAAACACUAAUCAGUAUUACCAGUACUGAUGAGAUGAAAGGUAUAGGAAUUACAGGAUUUUUAGGACUUAGCUUUUAGUUUUCUAGUUUUUGAGCUUCAUUGCUCAAGGUAGUUCUCUACCCAAACAACUUCUUGCUGUUUCCCCAGUAAACACUAUUUUGAAAUGAGAAACACGACAGAAUAGUGGCUAAAAAGCUCAUAUUCUGAAGGUAAAUCUGUGUUUGGACCCUGUCAGUGCUACUUAAUAACCAUAUAACCUUAAUAUUUUCAUAACAUUUUUGCCUCCAUUUUCUCAUUUGUAAAAUGGGAGCAAUCUCAUAGCGUUGUGAGGAUUAAAUGAGUUAAGGUAUAGAACUCCCUCAGUUCCUAGAACAUAGGUUUACUCAAGCAAUAUUUGCCAUUUUAUUUUACUUUUUUAAUUUUUUUGUCUUUUUGCCAUUUCUUGGGUUGCUCCCUUGGCAUGUGGAGGGUCCCAGGCUAGGGGUCGAAUCAGAGCUGUAGCCACCGGCCUAUACCAGAGCCACAGCAUCGCGGGAUCCGAACCCUGUCUGCAACCUACAGCACAGCUCACGGCAAUGCCGGAUCCUUAACCUACUGAGCAAGGCCAGGGAUCAAACUCGCCAACCUCAUGGUUCCUAGUCGGAUUCUUUAACCACUGAGCCGCAAUGGGAACUCCAAUAUUUGCCAUUUUAAAAGGAAGAGGAGUUCCCAUCAUGGCGCAGUCUUUUUUAACUGUGCCUGUUGUGGAGCUCUGUAUCAGAUAUUUAGCAAAUAUUUACUAGAUAAAUGCAAUUAAAUAUUUGGCUAAGUAUUAUUUUAGACCAGUUUUUAAUUUUAUUUAUUUAUUUAUAUGCCUUUUUGCCUUUUCUAGGGCUGCUCCCCAGGCAUGUGAAGGUUCGCAGGCUAGGGGGCUAAUUGGAGCUAUAGCCACUGGCCUACAUCACAGCGAUAGCAACUCAGGAUCCGAGCUGCAUCUGCGACCUACACCACAGCUCACAGCAAUGCCAGAUCGUUAACCCACUGAGCAAGGCCAGGGAUCGAACCCACAACCUCAUGUUUCUACUUGGAUUCGUUAACCACUGCGCCACGACGGGAACUCCUAGACCAGUUUUUUAAACUGAUGUGUCCCUGAAUUUCAGCAGUUCUUGUGUAGCCGGGAAGUAAUUUCACCUGCUUUCCCAGAGAGCAUGGUCUUAGUUUUUGUUAUUUUUGUCCUUUACCUACCUCAGGUUUCCCAAAUUGGGAACAAUCUUUGGUCAAAGGGCAGUGAAAUGACCAGAUAAGGCAGUACAUAUAUUGUGGAAGGGAUGGAAGUGCUUGGAGCCUUUCCCAAAAUAUUUUUUUAUAAGGAAGCCAUGUGGGAAAGCCACAGAAAUAUUAUAUCACCAGGAUACUAGAGUAAGAGCCACAAGGAAAGCCCUUUGCUGGUUCUAUAACCUUGGCUUCUGAGAAAGAAUGCAGACUUUAAAUGCUAGAGUGGUGCUUUAAACUGGAAACUGUCUUCAUUACCCUUUUUUUUUUGUCUUUUUCAGGGCCUCACCCUACGCCACUACCUUACCAGCCAACGCCACAGCCACAGCCACUCGGGACCUGCACCCCAUCUUCCACCUACAACGUAGCUCACAACAACACUGGAUCCUUAAUCCACUGAGCGAGGUCUGGGAUCGAACCUGUGUCCUCAUGGAUACUAGUUAGCUUCGUUUCUGCUGAGCCAUAACGGGAACGCCUUCUAUGAGAAUUUUUGAUUCAGGUUCGAUGCCUGGCCUCGCUCAGUAGGUUAAGGAUCUGGUGUUGCCACAAACUGUGGCGUAGGUCAUAGAUGAGGCUCGAAUGUUGUGUUGCCAUGGCUGUGGCAUAGGCUGGCAGCUGUAGCUCCAACUCCACUUUGACCCCCAGCCUGGGAACUUCUAUAUGCUGCAGGUGGGGCUGUAAAAAGGCAAAAAUAAAAAAAUAAAAAAAAGGAAAGAAGCAGCAUUUGAGCCACUUAUGUAUUUUGAAAUGUUCUAGUAUGUGUAUAUAUUUUUAAAGUAAAAAUAAAAACAAAAACCCAAGUGGAA